rnacentral:lncRNA from 1 species
GAAGCAUUUUGAGUACAUGUUCUACGUAGAUUUUGAAGCGUCAAUGGCGGACGUGAGGGCACAGAAUGCAUUGGCUGAAGUUCAGGAGUUCACAUCUUUCUUGAGGGUAUUGGGUAGCUAUCCUAUGGACAUGACUCCUUGGUGUCCUUACAGGGAAGAGUAACUACUCUCUACUCUCUUUCCCCAAACUUAAAAUGAGAAUUCAACAAAUAAUUAUUUUCUAUUGUUUGUAAUUAUGAUUCAAAAGAGGAAGAAACAAAAGAAAAUUUUAGUUUAAUUCCAUUGAAUUUUUUGCUCAUUAAUCUGUUUUCCAUCUCUAUGUUUUUGACUUAAUUUCGGGACCUUGGUGUCCUUCUAGGGAAGAGUAACUGCUCUCUUUCCCCAAACUCAAAAUGAGAAAUCAACAAAUAAUUAUUUUCUAUUGCUUGUAAUUAUAAUUCCAAAAGAGGAGAAACAAAAGACAAUUUAAGUUUAAUUUCAUUGAAUUUUUUGCUCAUUAUUCUGUUUUCCAUCUCUAUAUUGUUGAGUUAAUUUUCGGGGACGCUUCAGUUCACUAUCAGGCAGGUAGGUAGGUGAGGAGGAUUGAGCAAUGGAUAUAGAUGAUUCCCUUUAAUUUGCGGUUAAUCACGUUUUAGAGCUAGAAUGUACUCUUAAUCUUUCAAAUUCUAAGAGAGUAAUGUUUCUGUUGCUUUCUAGUAUUGAGUUUUAGAGAUUCUAUACGCUAGGAAAAUAGUAAAAGGUUCAUAUUCAAUGUGUAGACAGUAGAUAUGUAAUUCUUCUUUUCUUUUCUGUUUUUGUUGCUUUAUUGUUGAAAUUUAAUGUAAAUGAAUGCUCAGAAUUAAAGGGUUUCAGAUUGGACCAUGGCAAGUUAAGGUGGCAGUAAUGGGAGAGAGACAAGCCCAAAUUAAAGAUUUGGAAUUUAUCAACUUAGUUUUCAGAAAUACAGAAUUUAUUGGACUUUGCAACAAGUCAUCUAUGCCUAUAGGAAGCAACCUUUUUAUGCCUAUCAAAAAUAAUUUCUUUAAUUUUUUAAUUAGGAAAUAAAAUUUACGCAUGUUUUAUUUUUUUAAAUCUCACCUUAAAAUUUCGUUGGGAUUAUUCUUGUUGGUUGUAACAAGUCAUCUUAAGUUUUAAUGGUUUUGUUUGGCAUCAAUUUGAAAUAGUCAAAUCAAUAGAUUACGGAUAAUAAAUGAUUAAAUGAAAUACGUAGCACACUUGAGAAGUUAGGUGGCAAUG